CCCAUUCUCACUCCAAAGGCGUCAAAAACCGAAGCAUGGUCAAGCGCCCCUAGCGUCACUUUUAUGACGCCAAAUGUGCCUCUCGGCGUCGACUAUCGAAGCACUACGACCUUCAUUGCUUUCAGUGGGAAACUUUUGGCGUCAGAAUUCGACACGAGGACAUGAGAUGUUUAUCGCUAUGAAAUCACGUUCAAGAAGUCUCAUUCAGCACACAUCGCGCGAUACUUGCUAUCAGUUCCACAGUUUGGCUGAAAAGACGUAAAGGCAGUCAGCCCAGUGGUGUUUCUGGAGAGGGAUUCCUUCAGAAAUGGAGAAGACAGAAAGCUGCGGAGGCAGAUAUUUGCAGCAGAUUGUUUGAGGAUAACACUGCAGUUCUCCAUCAUGCACAAGGACUCACCUCGUUAACUCUUUAUCCCCCACACACACAGAUAUGGUCCCUGGAUCAGUGAUUAGACUUUGCAGUGGUUUGAUUUUUGCAGAAGAUGUAACUUUGUUUUAUUUAUAAGCUCAUAAUGAAUACAUUACAGAACCAGUGAUGAAAACAAUAGUUAAAAAUAGUAUUUUUCGUAUUGAUAAAGCAUUUUGUUCUCUUUUUCAAGCUUCAUACAGUGAACUUUUUAGACUUUAAUUAAGAGUUUUAGUAAAGGAGAUAUUCAUACACAGUCAUCCCCUAGCUCCAGUCAUGAAGUGAAUUCAUGAUGUUAUUGUCAAAGCUAGCAGGUGUUUGUUUUCCUGAACACUUUCUCUGUCUUCCAUUGUUCAGACAAUCAGUGUUUAUUUGAUGCUGUGCUGAUUGAGUUUUAUAGAUGAUAUUGCACACUUGACAUGCAUGUCUUCAUGGUGUUUUUUUGUGAGUUUGAAACAUUUACAUUGUGUUGUAUAACAUUUUGGUCAAUUUAAUUUUUUUAAUAAAAUUGAUCUUUUUCCAGUGUUCUCUGAAAGACAUACUGUAUUUACUGUUUUGUUUUUUAAUAAAAGCAUUUUCAUUUGCAUACUGAAAAUAGUUAAUGUUUACAACAUAACUGCCUUUUUAUUCUUUAUGGUGGCAAAAACGAGCUUGGUGACAGAGGAUGCAGUGUAGUAAUUUGGGCAUGUUGACUUUAAAU